rnacentral:rRNA from 1 species
AUUGAACGCUGGCGGCAGGCCUAACACAUGCAAGUCGAACGAGUGGCGGACGGGUGAGUAAUGGCGGGGAAAAUGCCUGAUGGAGGGGGAUAAAUAAUGGAAACGGUAGCUAAAACCGCAUACCAUAAGAUGAGGCCAGAUGGGAUUAGCUUGUGGGUGGGGGAACGGCUCACCAAGGCGACGAUCCCUAGGUGGUCUGAGAGGAUGACCAGCCACACUGGCACUUAGAGACGGUCAAGACUCCUGCGGGAGGCAGCAGUUGGGAAUAUUGCACAAUGGGCGCAAGCCGGAUGCAGCCAUGCCGCGUGAAUGCAGAAGGCCUUCGGGUUUUAAAGUACUUUCAGCGGGCAGGCGUUACCCUCAGAAGAAGCACCGGCUAACUCCGUGCCAGCAGCCGCGGUAAUUC